rnacentral:misc_RNA from 1 species
UCGUAACAAGGUUUCCGUAGGUGAACCUGCGGAAGGAUCAUUACCGAGUGAGGGUCCCUCGAGGCCCAACCUCCCAUCCGUGUUGACUUAACACCUGUUGCUUCGGCGGGCCCGCCGUGGUUCACGCCCGGCCGCCGGGGGGUUCACGCCCCCGGGCCCGCGCCCGCCGAAGACCCCUCGAACGCUGCCUCGAAGGUUGCCGUCUGAGUAUACAAUCAAUAAAUUAAAACUUUCAACAACGGAUCUCUUGGUUCCGGCAUCGAUGAAGAACGCAGCGAAAUGCGAUAAGUAAUGUGAAUUGCAGAAUUCCGUGAAUCAUCGAAUCUUUGAACGCACAUUGCGCCCCCUGGCAUUCCGGGGGGCAUGCCUGUCCGAGCGUCAUUGCUAACCCUCCAGCCCGGCUGGUGUGUUGGGCCGUCGUCCCCCCCGGGGGACGGGCCCGAAAGGCAGCGGCGGCGUCGCGUCCGGUCCUCGAGCGUAUGGGGCUUUGUCACGCGCUUUAGUAGAACCGGCCGGCUUGCUGGCCAACGACCUUCACGGUCACCUAUA